rnacentral:sRNA from 1 species
GUCACCGACCCGACCGCCUGCCCCGUCCCGGGCCACGGCGUGAACCCGAUCGCCGCCGGCUCCCCCGACGU